AUUGAACGCUGGCGGCAGGCCUAACACAUGCAAGUCGGACGGUAGCACAGGGGAGCUUGCUCCUCGGGUGACGAGUGGCGGACGGGUGAGUAAUGUCUGGGGAUCUGCCCGAUAGAGGGGGAUAACCACUGGAAACGGUGGGUAAUACCGCACAACGUCGCAAGACCAAAGAGGGGGACAUUCGGGCCUCUCACUAUCGGAUGAACCCAGAUGGGAUUAGCUAGUAGGCGGGGUAACGGCCCACCUAGGCGACGAUCCCUAGCUGGCCUGAGAGGAUGACCAGCCACACUGGAACUGAGACACGGUCCAGACUCCUACGGGAGGCAGCAGUGGGGAAUAUUGCACAAUGGGCGCAAGCCUGAUGCAGCCAUGCCGCGUGUAUGAAGAAGGCCUUCGGGUUGUAAAGUACUUUCAGCGGGGAGGAAGGCGAUGUGGUUAAUAACCGCGUCGAUUGACGUUACCCGCAGAAGAAGCACCGGCUAACUCCGUGCCAGCCGCCGCAGUAA
rnacentral:rRNA from 1 species